ACUGCUGUCAGCUGCUUCCUCAAAGGAUUCCCUUUCCUUCACUUUAUCCUUGAUGACUCUGAAAAGACAAUUGGCAUGUGUGAUUUUACUUGCAGGUAAGAUCUCAGUGAGGAGGACUUGUCCUCCAACCUACAUGGAUGCUCCUGCCACACAACCCAGGAAACCCACAGACAGAAGGGACAAGGGAACCAGUGAUUUAUGACUUGCUGCCUCUCUGGGUAUGGAAACAGAGUCAGCAGAUCAUCUACUCAAGGACAAUGACGUUAUAAAAGCUCCUGUUAUUAACAGUAUCCGCUGGUCCCGUUACAAAAGCAAUUGUGCUUGAGCUCUGACUCUUAACAAAAGAGUCAGAAGGCACUGCCCGCUUUGACCUGCAUCUCUACCACUGCUUCUCUGCUGCCCAGG